ACAAGGUCUCCGUUGGUGAACCAGCGGAGGGAUCAUUACCGAGUUUACAACUCCCAAACCCAAUGUGAACCAUACCAAACUGUUGCCUCGGCGGGGUCACGCCCCGGGUGCGUCGCAGCCCCGGAACCAGGCGCCCGCCGGAGGGACCAACCAAACUCUUUCUGUAGUCCCCUCGCGGACGUUAUUUCUUACAGCUCUGAGCAAAAAUUCAAAAUGAAUCAAAACUUUCAACAACGGAUCUCUUGGUUCUGGCAUCGAUGAAGAACGCAGCGAAAUGCGAUAAGUAAUGUGAAUUGCAGAAUUCAGUGAAUCAUCGAAUCUUUGAACGCACAUUGCGCCCGCCAGUAUUCUGGCGGGCAUGCCUGUCCGAGCGUCAUUUCAACCCUCGAACCCCUCCGGGGGGUCGGCGUUGGGGAUCGGGAACCCCUAAGACGGGAUCCCGGCCCCGAAAUACAGUGGCGGUCUCGCCGCAGCCUCUCCUGCGCAGUAGUUUGCACAACUCGCACCGGGAGCGCGGCGCGUCCACGUCCGUAAAACACCCAACUUUCUGAAAUGUUGACCUCGGAUCAGGUAGGAAUACCCGCUGAACUUAAGCAUAUCAAUAAGCGGAGGAA
rnacentral:rRNA from 1 species